rnacentral:rRNA from 1 species
CCGUUGUACACACCGCCCGUCACACCAGUGGGUAGGUUUGGGUUUACCUUAAGACGGUGCGCUAACCCGCAAGGGGGAGCAGCCGGGCCACGGUAGGCUCAGCGACUGGGGGUG